UAAGGAAUAUUGGACAAUGGGCGAGAGCCUGAUCCAGCCAUGCCGCGUGCAGGAAGAAGGCCCUAUGGGUCGUAAACUGCUUUUGAACGAGAGAAAACCCGAGUACGUGUACUCGGCUGAUAGUAUCGUUAGAAUAAGCAUCGGCUAACUUCAUG
rnacentral:rRNA from 1 species